GUGCGUUUUAGACAGAGCGCCAUAACAUAUACGCGUGUUUGGCGUGUUACUGCUCGCGAUUUAGAAACAAAACAAACAAACAAACAAGAAUUGAUGGAUGAAGAAAACCGAGAAGCGCCUUCAAACUGGAUCACACAACAUCCGGUGUACCGAGACCUGCUGAAGCUGGGCGUGGAGGACGACGCGCAGGUGUACGGAGCCUUCCUGGUUUACCUCGACCUGACCGAAGUUCGGCGCUGGACGAGCGUGAGCGCCGUUUCCUGUCCUGAUCUUAAGGCGGUUCUUCUGGAGGGGCGCGAACGAGACGGAGAGGGUCUUCGGGUGGUGUUUCCUCUUCCUGCCCACCGGAACGUCAGUCACAGAGAUUUAAGGUGCAUUGUGGGUCGUGGAACUCCCAUGCUCCUUUGCGCCGUGGCCUCUGACUCCACGUUGGUGUAUCAGCAGCUGAGCGACGGCCUCGUGACCCCCGACCCCCCCGUGGACAUCAGAGACCUGGGACGUCGACAGCACCGUAAACGCAGGGUCCAGAUGUGACCGACUUUACGUCUGCAGGUCUGAGACAUGAGAUUUGUGCUCCAGCAAGAACCAGAUCUACUGAAUAACCUGCUCAUUUCAGAAGGUUUAGAGACUCUAAAGACUCUGUUUACAAAAAAGUACUUUAUUUAUCUACGUUUUCACAACAUCGCCUUCGAAAUAGUCCCCUAACACAGCGCCUCCUAGUGUUCUUCUGGAGCGUGUUCUGGAAGUCUUCUUAUCUUCUGCGGUUUGCGCGGUGUCAAACGGUUUCGGGAAGAAGGCGGAGUCAAAGCGCAAGAGCCAAAUGAAGGAAGAAGGAAAAGAAAGAGGAGGAGAAGAAGCGGAAUGUCCGACGCUCGUGCAAGAGGCGUGAAGGCGCCAAAUCCCAGACGGCGUUAAUGUUCAUGGCUCCGUCUCAAAAAUAAAAAGGAAAGAAAGGCUUAGU